CAACCCUAGAGAUAGGGCGUUCCCCUUCGGGGGACAGAGUGACAGGUGGUGCAUGGUUGUCGUCAGCUCGUGUCGUGAGAUGUUGGGUUAAGUCCCGCAACGAGCGCAACCCUUGAUCUUAGUUGCCAGCAUUCAGUUGGGCACUCUAAGGUGACUGCCGGUGACAAACCGGAGGAAGGUGGGGAUGACGUCAAAUCAUCAUGCCCCUUAUGACCUGGGCUACACACGUGCUACAAUGGAUGGUACAAAGGGCUGCAAACCUGCGAAGGUAAGCGAAUCCCAUAAAGCCAUUCUCAGUUCGGAUUGCAGGCUGCAACUCGCCUGCAUGAAGCCGGAAUCGCUAGUAAUCGCGGAUCAGCAUGCCGCGGUGAAUACGUUCCCGGGCCUUGUACACACCGCCCGUCACACCACGAGAGUUUGUAACACCCGAAGUCGGUGAGGUAACCUUCAUGGAGCCAGCCGCCUAAGGUGGGACAGAUGAUUGGGGUGAAGUCGUAACAAGGUAGCCGUAUCGGAAGGUGCGGCUGGAUCACCUCCUUUCUAAGGA
rnacentral:rRNA from 2 species